UACAGAGGGGGCAAGCGUUAUUCGGAAUUACUGGGCGUAAAGGGCUCGUAGGCGGCCAACUAAGUCGGAUGUGAAAUCCCCAAGCUUAACUUGGGAACUGCAUCCGAUACUGGAUGGCUUGAAUCCGGGAGAGGGAUGCAGAAUUCCAGGUGUAGCGGUGAAAUGCGUAGAUAUCGGGAGGAAUACCAGUGGCGAAAGCGGCACCCUGGCAUUAGCCUGACGCUCAUGUGCGAAGGCGUGGGGAGCGAACGGG
rnacentral:rRNA from 1 species